AACGAACGCUGGCGGCAUGCCUAACACAUGCAAGUCGAACGAGACCUUCGGGCCUAGUGGCGCACGGGUGCGUAACGCGUGGGAAUCUGCCCUUGGGUUCGGAAUAACUCGCCGAAAGGCGUGCUAAUACCGGAUGAUGUCGUAAGACCAAAGAUUUAUCGCCCAGGGAUGAGCCCGCGUAAGAUUAGGUAGUUGGUGAGGUAAAGGCUCACCAAGCCGACGAUCGGUAGCCGGACUGAGAGGUUGAACGGCCACAUUGGGACUGAGACACGGCCCAG
rnacentral:rRNA from 1 species